UUUUCCGUGUUCAAAGAGUUCCGUUUCCCUACGGUUAUUAAAAUGAUAGUGAUCGAAAAAAGAAAGUCCUGGAAACGUUUGGCAAUAGUUCACUGGAUCACUACCCGGGGUAAACUGUUCAUCAUCUGGCUCGCCUAUGCGCCGUUUCCACUUGCUCUGCAGUUUCAAGUGGCUCAAUUCCCAGAUUUUGCAGCGAUUUUUUAUGUGCCACGAUUUCAGCGCCGAGGAGGAUUUCUGUAUGGCAGUUCCUGCAUUCCCGGUUCAAACACAUCGUUUUCGGAAGACUGUGUAUGGGACAAAUCCCUGGGGAGAAAGGAAUCGACACAAUGGAAUUAAAACGAUCCUAGUAAGGAGUGCUUGAUCCGGAUUUGAAAAGAGAAGAUUUGGGAGCUCCUCAAAGUGAAAGUUAUCCUAUUACGUCCUGGAUGUUUCCGGAAGGAUUUCUCUGGAUUUUGUUGAUGAACAUGUCUGAUACAUCGGGGAAGCCUCAAGAACGCGAUGAUGGAGGAAAACUUCCCGAUAUGAAACGUAAGG